GGUGGUAAAAAUGAAAAAAAGAGUCAUUUUUGCGCCAAAUCAACGAUAAAAUGUAUUAACACCAAGUAUAACAUGUUCUGCUGCAGUCAGUCACGUGCGAAGUCUCUGAUCAAACGUAAGAAAAGCAACCAAAAUCUCCUAUUCUCUAU